AAGAGAGAAAAAAAAUCAAGAGUGAGAAAGUUUUCAUAAAGUUCUUAGCUUUUCUUAAAGUUCUUAGUUUCCAAAGUUUGUAAGUAACUUAAAAAAAAAAAAAAAAGAGUGUGUGAAAAGUGUGAAAAAUUUUCUUAGUUCUUCAUUUUCCGGUAGCUGUCAAGUCUUCAGGGGACUCCCGAAAGGAAAACCUCACUUUUUCCUUAAGACAUCUAAGUAAUAGUUACAUAGGUUUUUGUAAUUUUCUCUCAAGUUUGUAAAUUAUAUUUAAAUUAAUUAAGUUUAUAUUUUCCUUCACAUAUGUUUUAUUAUUAAGAUCUGGAUCACCG
rnacentral:lncRNA from 1 species